GAAAAGUUACUCAAGUGGUUUAAGAGGCGAGUUUGCUAAACUUGUAGGACAGAUGUGUCGCAAGGGUUCGAAUCCCUUACUUUUCGCCA
rnacentral:tRNA from 1 species